rnacentral:rRNA from 1 species
AGAACGAACGCUGGCGGCAUGCCUAACACAUGCAAGUCGAACGAGACCUUCGGGUCUAGUGGCGCACGGGCGCGUAACGCGUGGGAAUCUGCCCUUGGGUUCGGAAUAACAGCGAGAAAUUGCUGCUAAUACCGGAUGAUGACGUAAGUCCAAAGAUUUAUCGCCCAAGGAUGAGCCCGCGUAGGAUUAGCUUGUUGGUGAGGUAAGAGCUCACCAAGGCGACGAUCCUUAGCUGGUCUGAGAGGAUGAUCAGCCACACUGGGACUGAGACACGGCCCAGACUCCUACGGGAGGCAGCAGUGGGGAAUAUUGGACAAUGGCGAAAGCCUGAUCCAGCAAUGCCGCGUGAGUGAUGAAGGCCUUAGGGUUGUAAAGCUCUUUUACCCGGAUGAUAAUGACAGUACCGGAGAAUAAAGCUCCGGCUAACUCCGUGCCAGCAGCCAC